rnacentral:rRNA from 1 species
AGCGGCGGAUGGGUGAGUAACACGUGGGGAACCUGCCCCUAAGUCUGGGAUACCAUUUGGAAACAGGUGCUAAUACCGGAUAAUAAAGCAGAUCGCAUGAUCAGCUUUUGAAAGGCGGCGUAAGCUGUCGCUAAGGGAUGGCCCCGCGGUGCAUUAGCUAGUUGGUAAGGUAACGGCUUACCAAGGCGACGAUGCAUAGCCGAGUUGAGAGACUGAUCGGCCACAUUGGGACUGAGACACGGCCCAAACUCCUACGGGAGGCAGCAGUAGGGAAUCUUCCACAAUGGACGCAAGUCUGAUGGAGCAACGCCGCGUGAGUGAAGAAGGUUUUCGGAUCGUAAAGCUCUGUUGUUGGUGAAGAAGGAUAGAGGUAGUAACUGGCCUUUAUUUGACGGUAAUCAACCAGAAAGUCACGGCUAACUACGUGCCAGCAGCCGCGGUAAUACGUAGGUGGCAAGCGUUGUCCGGAUUUACUGGGCGUAAAGCGAGCGCAGGCGGAAAAAUAAGUCUAAUGUGAAAGCCCUCGGCUUAACCGAGGAACUGCAUCGGAAACUGUUUUUCUUGAGUGCAGAAGAGGAGAGUGGAACUCCAUGUGUAGCGGUGGAAUGCGUAGAUAUAUGGAAGAACACCAGUGGCGAAGGCGGCUCUCUGGUCUGCAACUGACGCUGAGGCUCGAAAGCAUGGGUAGCGAACAGGAUUAGAUACCCUGGUAGUCCAUGCCGUAAACGAUGAGUGCUAAGUGU